UUAGAGUUUGAUCCUGGCUCAGGACGAACGCUGGCGGCGUGCUUAACACAUGCAAGUCGAACGGGGUGUUUAUUUCGGUAAACACCAAGUGGCGAACGGGUGAGUAACGCGUAAGCAAUCUACCUUCAAGAUGGGGACAACACUUCGAAAGGGGUGCUAAUACCGAAUGAAUGUAAGAGUAUCGCAUGAGACACUUACUAAAGGAGGCCUCUGAAAAUGCUUCCGCUUGAAGAUGAGCUUGCGUCUGAUUAGCUAGUUGGUGAGGGUAAAGGCCCACCAAGGCGACGAUCAGUAGCCGGUCUGAGAGGAUGAACGGCCACAUUGGGACUGAGACACGGCCCAGACUCCUACGGGAGGCAGCAGUGGGGAAUCUUCCGCAAUGGGCGAAAGCCUGACGGAGCAACGCCGCGUGAACGAUGAAGGUCUUAGGAUCGUAAAGUUCUGUUGUUAGGGACGAAGGAUAAGGAUUAUAAUACAGUCUUUGUUUGACGGUACCUAACGAGGAAGCCACGGCUAACUACGUGCCAGCAGCCGCGGUAAUACGUAGGCGGCAAGCGUUGUCCGGAAUUAUUGGGCGUAAAGGGAGCGCAGGCGGGAAACUAAGCGGAUCUUAAAAGUGCGGGGCUCAACCCCGUGAUGGGGUCCGAACUGGUUUUCUUGAGUGCAGGAGAGGAAAGCGGAAUUCCCAGUGUAGCGGUGAAAUGCGUAGAUAUUGGGAAGAACACCAGUGGCGAAGGCGGCUUUCUGGACUGUAACUGACGCUGAGGCUCGAAAGCUAGGGUAGCGAACGGGAUUAGAUACCCCGGUAGUCCUAGCCGUAAACGAUGGAUACUAGGUGUGGGAGGUAUCGACUCCUUCCGUGCCGGAGUUAACGCAAUAAGUAUCCCGCCUGGGGAGUACGGCCGCAAGGUUG
rnacentral:rRNA from 1 species